rnacentral:rRNA from 1 species
UACGAGGGGUGCGAGCGUUAUUCGGAUUUAUUGGGCGUAAAGGGUGCGUAGACGGUUUGUUAAGUCUGCUGUUAAAUUCUCCGACUUAAUCGGAGGUCAGCGGUGGAAACUGGCAAUCUAGAGUGUGGGAGAGAGAAGUGGAAUUCCCGGAGUAGCGGUAAAAUGCACAGAUCUCGGGAGGAACACCAAUGGCGAAGGCAGCUUCUUGGCCCAUAACUGACGUUGAGGCACGAAAGCGUGGGGAGCAAACAGG